CCCGCCCCUCCCUCUCUCUUUUGCGUGGUUGACUACAACUCCCAGGAGGAGGUAGUGCCCAGCCAACCCUUGACUGUCCUGUCCAUAGAACUCCUGAUCUGGGGGCAAAUAAAAGAAUAAGAAUGAGCCCUCUGUGUAUCUUCACACCUCGCAUCCUUCAUCCCCGGGGCUCCCACACAGCAGCGGGCACCUUUGUGCCACCUUGUCCUCCCCUGGACCAGGAGAAAGUCAAGGAGUUACAGCGAUUCAUCUCCCUUUCCAAGAGACUCCUGGUGAUGACUGGAGCUGGGAUCUCCACCGAGUCAGGCAUCCCAGAUUACAGAUCAGAGAAGGUGGGGCUCUAUGCCCGAACGGACCGGCGCCCUAUCCAACAUGUGGAUUUUGUCCGGAGCGCUAAAAUCCGCCAGCGCUACUGGGCAAGAAAUUUUGUUGGGUGGCCUCAGUUCUCCUCUCACCAGCCGAAUGCUGCACAUUUGGCCCUGAGCAGCUGGGAGAGACUCAGGAAACUCUAUUGGUUGGUCACCCAAAAUGUGGAUGCUUUGCACACCAAGGCGGGGAGCCAGCGUCUGACCGAACUCCACGGAUGCAUGCAUAGGGUUCUCUGUUUACACUGUGGGGAACAGACUCCCCGAGGGGUGCUGCAGGACCGAUUCAAAGCCCUGAACCCCACCUGGGGAGCCGAGGCCCAUGGCGUGGCCCCUGACGGCGACGUCUUCCUGACAGAGGACCAGGUACGAAGCUUCCACGUCCCAUCCUGUGCCAAGUGUGGGGGCCCUCUGAAGCCAGAUGUUGUUUUCUUUGGGGACACAGUGAACCACGAUAAGGUGGACUUCGUGCACACACGUGUGAAAGAAGCCGACGCCCUUCUGGUGGUAGGAUCUUCCUUGCAGGUGUACUCUGGCUACAAAUUUAUUCUCGCAGCACACGAGAAGAAACUUCCCAUUGCAAUACUGAACAUUGGGCCCACAAGGUCAGACCAACUGGCCUGCCUGAAGUUGGAAUUCCGAUGCGCUGAGCUCCUACCCUUAAUAGUUCCCCAGUGACCAGGGCCUAGGGCUCCCAACCCCCAAGGAGGACCCUUACUGGACCAGAGCUGCUAAAGGAUCCCUGCUGGUGUGUCCUUGCCACCAUGCUCUGGCAGAUGUUGUCACUCUCUCUCAACCAGCAGAGGGCAGCACAUGCCCACAUCUCAGCAUCCCGGUUCAGAUCCUGGGAGUUUGAUAUGGGAUUGUGCUGUAUUCUCUUUCAGAGACUUGGAAACUCGGGAGAUUGGAUCCCAAAGGUGUUGUCCCUGGAGAUUUGGGUAGCCAUCUUGCUGUCCUUUGAGGAAAGGGGAGGAUACAACACUAAUUCAGUUUCGUAACCUCAAAUAGCUAAAGUUAUCUUUGAACUGAGCCAUUUCAAUCAAUAAACAUUUUAAAAGAUAUCUUUAAGAAAGCAAAUGAAUAUAUUUCCUACAGGCAGGGCAAGUACUGAUUGAAAUGAAUUUUUAUUCAACGAGGAAUAAUGGGAGACUCCCUUUCUCCAGCACACCAGGUGCAGGGUAUGGGGUUGUAUUCUAUUACAGUCAUUAACAAGAGGAGGGUUUGGGGCAGCUAGAUGGCGCAGUGGAUAGAGCACCGGCCCUGGAGUCAGGCGUACCUGAGUUCAAAUCUGGCCUCAGACACUUAAUACUUAACU